GAUGAACGCUGGCGGCGUGCCUAAUACAUGCAAGUCGAGUGAACGGACGAGAAGCUUGCUUCUCUGAUGUUAGCGGCGGACGGGUGAGUAACACGUGGAUAACCUACCUAUAAGACUGGGAUAACUUCGGGAAACCGGAGCUAAUACCGGAUAAUAUUUUGAACCGCAUGGUUCAAAAGUGAAAGACGGUCUUGCUGUCACUUAUAGAUGGAUCCGCGCUGCAUUAGCUAGUUGGUAAGGUAACGGCUUACCAAGGCAACGAUGCAUAGCCGACCUGAGAGGGUGAUCGGCCACACUGGAACUGAGACACGGUCCAGACUCCUACGGGAGGCAGCAGUAGGGAAUCUUCCGCAAUGGGCGAAAGCCUGACGGAGCAACGCCGCGUGAGUGAUGAAGGUCUUCGGAUCGUAAAACUCUGUUAUUAGGGAAGAACAUAUGUGUAAGUAACUGUGCACAUCUUGACGGUACCUAAUCAGAAAGCCACGGCUAACUACGU
rnacentral:rRNA from 1 species